CUGAAAUAUAUUCCUGGUGGAAUUAUUAUUAUUAUUAUUAUUAUCAUAGCUAUCAAACUAAACAACCUACUCUUUCUUAACUUACAGCACGCCCUGUACAUUGCAAUGGAAGCACAGUGUGAUUUCACUGAGUUAUGUAUAAAUGAUGAUAUUCUCAUCACUAGUGGAUAUAAUGUUUUUUGGGAUACCCAUCCGAUUGUGUGAUUUUCUUUUUCAAAGGAAAACAUGCAGCACAUUAGGCGUUGGUGGUGUCUAGUUCUCCUGCAGAACUUUCCCAUGCCGUCUGAAGAAGAGAGGUUGAAAGAUCGAAACAAAACGCAUUACAGGAUGAUGUAAAAGACCCCCUCCCCCAUGAAGUCACAGCAUGUCACAUCAGCAUCCAGCUCUGCAGGAUCAGACGAUACUGAAAACAAAAUGCACGGCAAACUGAGAGCUGUGAACUGGGAAGCAGAUGUUCUCCUAAGGGACACCCUAGAGGCAGCAAGGUGGUGCGAACACCAAACAUUUAAAGGCACCGUUUCCCUCCCUAGUGUAAUUUUUGAUGGACGGGGAAGACCGCAUUACAACCCUUAAAGAACUACGGUUGUAGGAUGGCCCGGAUGAAGAGGAAAAUAUUAUCCUCAAGGAACCAUUCAUGUUACAGAGACAUUAUGAGAUGUUCUAUGAGGAGACAGUUGACAACAAGAAAAUCACUCUUUGCCUCUUGAGGAGCAGGAGUGAAGCAAUUUUUGAGGAGUGGUCAAGCCUUGUUUUUGUCUGCUGUGUUAAUUGUUUCAAUUUUUAAUUGUGUUACGUUUAGUAAAGAUGACGUAGAAGUCACCCGAGUCUCUGAUCUCUUUACUGGAGCUGGUAUAACUUAAUGUACAAAGCACAUUCAGCUUGUCAGAAUGUCUAUAUGGUAUAGUUUGUCUCCAUUCUCAUGAGGAAAGUAAAUAGCAUUAUAAAUCUGGAUAGAUAGUAACUGUAUGUAUGUAUGUGCUCAAUGAAAUAAUAUAGUUAACAUUUAUCAACACAAUUUUAACAGUACAUAACAUAACAAGUCUGUUGUUCACUGCAACAAAAUCAGUAGCUUGUCUCAAAUAUAGCAUGAAGUAAAAAGUGUUACAACACAUCUGCUGGUACCACUUUAUAUAAUAAUACUUACGAUCUCAAAAAUGAAAUAUGUUUGUAUGCAAUGUGCGCCUUGCACAAACGUGUGUGUUUGUAUUCUGUGUGUGACUGUCAAACCUCAGAGGGACAAAAAACAAAAACGCUGGGAGGGGUCAAACAUUUGCCCACAUUUAGCCCCACCCCAAAUUGCACACUGCAGUCAGGGAUACUUGAAUAGGGAGGAUGCACCAUGGGAUGGGCUGGGCUCUACUACUAUAGACCAAUAGGGAGGAUGCACCAUGGGAUGGGCUGGGCUCUACUACUAGAGACCAAUAGGGAGGAUGCUCCAUGGGAUGGGCUGGGCUCUACUACUAGAGACCAAUAGGGAGGAUGCACCAUGGGAUGGGCUGGGCUCUACUACUAUAGACCAAUAGGGAGGAUGCUCCAUGGGAUGGGCUGGGCUCUACUACUAGAGACCAAUAGGGAGGAUGCACCAUGGGAUGGGCUGGGCUCUACUACUAUAGACCAAUAGGGAGGAUGCUCCAUGGGCUGGGCUCUACUACUAUAGACCAAUAGGGAGGAUGCACCAUGGGAUGGGCUGGGCUCUACUACUAGAGACCAAUAGGGAGGAUGCUCCAUGGGAUGGGCUGGGCUCUACUACUCGAGACCAAUAGGGAGGAUGCUCCAUGGGAUGGGCUGGGCUCUACUACUAUAGACCAAUAGGGAGGAUGCUCCAUGGGAUGGGCUGGGCUCUACUACUAUAGACCAAUAGGGAGGAUGCUCCAUGGGAUGGGCCGGGCUCUACUACUAUAGACCAAUAGGGAGGAUGCUCCAUGGGAUGGGCUGGGCUCUACUACUAUAGACCAAUAGGGAGGAUGCUCCAUGGGAUGGGCCGGGCUCUACUACUAUAGACCAAUAGGGAGGAUGCUCCAUGGGAUGGGCCGGGCUCUACUACUAUAGACCAAUAGGGAGGAUGCUCCAUGGGAUGGGCCGGGCUCUACUACUAUAGACCAAUAGGGAGGAUGCUCCAUGGGAUGGGCCGGGCUCUACUACUAUAGACCAAUAGGGAGGAUGCUCCAUGGGAUGGGCUGGGCUGCUGAAUACUAAAGGAAACUGCAGCUCUCUGCUGUCAGGCUUCAUUAUUUUCCAGUCGGUUGGCUGCACCUGUAGUGUCUGAAAAUGGACCCAUCUAAGAUAAGAAAAUAGUUUGAAAGAACUGAGUAUGCUGUUAUAUUGUGGAUAAAUAUUAUUGGUAAACAUCCCUGGUAAAGUUUGUUGAUACAGUUACGUAGGCUACAUUGUAUCUGUUUCAUGUUCAGAGACAAGGAAGUUUGAGAUUGACACGACCGACGGGAUAAAAUGGCUGGAUUAAUAUUAUAAUUGCGAUGAAAUAACCUAUGAAUGCAUAGCUAGUUUAUACUUUUUUUAAUUAACUUUACGAUUUCAAUCACAUCUCCAUCAAUAGACCAAACACGACACCAGCGUUCUCAAGUUGUAUCAAAAUAUUUUCUUUUUUGUCUGUGGUAAAGUUGUAUUACAGGCCUCUACCUUCUUUGAUAUCAAGCAGCCAAGUGUGUGUCGGUGUAUACAUUUUCUUGUUUAUACUUGUUAUUGUUUUAGGCAAAGUAUGAAUCAGCACUUUCUAAUGUGGUCCUUAAUGGAAAAGACAGAUAGGACACAGACUAUGUGUAUGUGCUUGUGUAGGAGCCAGUAGCUGCUUCUGAGAGGGAACAGAUGCCAGCAGGGGCAGAGGACCAAAC
ensembl:lncRNA